AUAAGGACUGUGUCAGUUUUGAAGGGUUUAACGUAGGCGGCAUCAACCUCAACAACUGUCAGCUGAUGACCAGCAAUCUUGAAGAAGAGCUCUUCAUUAAGUGCAGCAUUGAUUAUCCUAAGCAUGUAGGUCUUGCCGGAACGUACUGGUAAGGUAAAUCCCCCUGCAGUUCAAGCAAAAUAAGGAUUCAAUAAGUUUCCAACUAAACGAUAUAUAUAAUCUUGUGCUGGGUUUGAAACUCUGCAAAAAGUCUCAGUUUUGCUUAUUGGCGUUAAGAUGUUAUAUUCUAUUUGUUGGGGUUUUAAUUUGAACCUUGUGAAGGGCAGGUUGAGACAGGUCCUGGAUGGCCAUUAAUGGUGUGAGCAUCUGAGACAUUUGGUGCCAACCCAGAUUUCAUGGCUUCAUUGACCACAGCUUCAACAUCUGAUUUCCACCAUUCACCUACAACUCCAAAAAAUUUCAUAUCAUUAUCAUCUCUCUUUCAUAAAUUGCAGUUUCUUGUAGUUCUAAAUUAAACUUGAUUAAUUAAGCUCACCUAGUAUAACGACUUCUUCCUUAUAGGGAGUGGGAAAUGGAUAAGGAACACCACGCUUGGGCAAGAUAACGAUGGCACCAUGGACAGUGGCCCUGAGCCAGAGGAUAUGUGCAUGCCACCACAAGGUACCCCUUUGGCCAGUAAUAGUAAAAUUGUAGACAAAGUUCUGCCCU
rnacentral:lncRNA from 1 species